UACGUAGGGUGCAAGCGUUGUCCGGAAUUAUUGGGCGUAAAGAGCUCGUAGGCGGUCUGUCGCGUCGGCUGUGAAAACUCGGGGCUCAACCCCGAGCCUGCAGUCGAUACGGGCAGACUAGAGUGCUGUAGGGGAGACUGGAAUUCCUGGUGUAGCGGUGAAAUGCGCAGAUAUCAGGAGGAACACCGGUGGCGAAGGCGGGUCUCUGGGCAGUAACUGACGCCGAGGAGCGAAAGCGUGGGGAGCGAACAGG
rnacentral:rRNA from 1 species